rnacentral:rRNA from 1 species
CCCUUAGACGUUCUGGGCCGCACGCGCGCUACACUGACGAAGGCAACGAGCUUUCCUUUACCGAAAGGUACGGGUAAUCUUUUGAAACUUCGUCGUGCUGGGGAUAGAUCCUUGCAAUUUUUGAUCUUAAACGAGGAAUGCCUAGUAAGCGCAAGUCAUCAACUUGCGUUGAUUACGUCCCUGCCCUUUGUACACACCGCCCGUCGCUACUACCGAUUGAAUGGUCCGGUGAAGCCUCGGGAUUGUGGCCAGUUCACUUUAUUGGGAGUUGGCUGUGAGAACUUGUCUAAACCUUAUCAUUUAGAGGAAGGUGAAGUCGUAACA